AUUGAACGCUGGCGGCAGGCCUAACACAUGCAAGUCGAGCGAGCGUCGGACGGGUGCGUAAAGUAUGGGGACAGCCCGAUAGAGGGGGGGAACUACUGGAAACGGGGUCUCAUACCGCAUAUUACCGGAAUAUCCAUAUGGGAUUAGCGAGUAGGUGAGGUAAUGGCUCACAUAGGCGACGCUCCCUAGCUGGUCUGAGCGGAUGAUCAGCCAAACUGGGACUGAGACACGGCCCAGACUCCUACGGAGGCAGCAGUGGGGAAUAUUGCACAAUGGGCGCAAGCCUGAUGCAGCCAUGCCGCGUGUAUGAAGAAGGCCCUAGGGUUGUAAAGUACUUUCAGUCGGGAGGCGUUACCGACAGAAGAAGCACCGGCUAACUCCGUGCCAGCAGCCGCGGUAAUAC
rnacentral:rRNA from 1 species